GUUUUCUUUCCAGCCAUCCUAAAAAAAAUGGACGCCCUGUGCUUGUUCUUCAGUCCAGUGGCUAUUUAUUGAAAACAGAAGUAUUGACAUAAGCAGGUUUUGCUGGAAUUAACAAAAUCUGGAUCAAGCUAUCUGAAAGCAUUUCAUGUCUUCCAUUGAAUCACACGAGGAGAAAAGAUGAAAAGAAGGAACAGGAAGACGUAAAGAACGAAAGACUUUACAUGAAGCCAAGUGACCAUCCGUGUAGGUGUCCGAAGUCCCAAGCUUCUGAGUGCCCUAGGAAUAAGGAUCCAACACUGAAAGUAAAACUGAAGAUUAAGCACAGGUCUUAGACCUGCACCCAGCCAGCUACUUCCUGAUGCUGUUUAUCCAAAACACCACCUGCUGUCAAGGGCAGUUCUGGCAGUUUGAAAUGUCUCUGUGUCCAUGAAGCAGCCAUACCUGUUAGGUUUAAUUUCUGCAAUGAAUUACCCAGUGUAUGUAAUUCAAAACUCAUUCUUCUUUCCUGCCCUCCUACCACCACCAGUCAUCUCUUUUCAUCUGUGAAAGCAGUGAUGGAAUUAGGUUGCUAAGAACCUGGAAGGUUUGCUUUCUCUGUACCAAAUUUAACAUAAUAUAUGCA
rnacentral:lncRNA from 1 species